rnacentral:tRNA from 2 species
AGGCCAGUAGCUCAACUGGCAGAGCGUCGGUCUCCAAAACCGAAGGUUGGGGGUUCGAUGCCCUCCUGGCCUGCCA